rnacentral:rRNA from 1 species
CCUACGGGAGGCAGCAGUGGGGAAUAUUGCACAAUGGGGGGAACCCUGAUGCAGCGACGCCGCGUGGGUGAAGGAGUAUUUCGGUAUGUAAAGCCCUAUCAGCAGGGAAGAACAAUGACGGUACCUGACUAAGAAGCACCGGCUAAAUACGUUCCAGCAGCCGCGGUAAUACGUAUGGUGCAAGCGUUAUCCGGAUUUACUGGGUGUAAAGGGAGCGCAGGCGGCGCGUUAAGCCAGGUGUGAAAGGCCGCGGCCCAACCGCGGGACUGCAUUGGGAACUGGCGCGCUGGAGUGCAGGAGGGGUAGGCGGAAUUCCUGGUGUAGCGGUGAAAUGCGUAGAUAUUAGGAGGAACACCAGUGGCGAAGGCGGCUUACUGGACGGUGACUGACGCUGAGGCUCGAAAGCGUGGGGAGCAAACAGGAUUAGAUACCCUUGUAGUC